GCAUAUGAUGGGCCCACCAUAAAUUCAUACCCAUUUCAUAGUGUCCCAUGCUACUGCAAAGUAUUGUUGCUGUCAUCUGGCCUCUGUGCCUAUAGGCCAUUGGCACUGAAGCAGGUUGCACAAUG
rnacentral:snoRNA from 1 species